UUUUAUGAGAGUUUGAUCCUGGCUCAGGACGAACGCUGGCGGCGUGCCUAAUACAUGCAAGUCGUACGCUUCUUUUUCCACCGGAGCUUGCUCCACCGGAAAAAGAAGAGUGGCGAACGGGUGAGUAACACGUGGGUAACCUGCCCAUCAGAAGGGGAUAACACUUGGAAACAGGUGCUAAUACCGUAUAACAAUCGAAACCGCAUGGUUUUGAUUUGAAAGGCGCUUUCGGGU
rnacentral:rRNA from 4 species